AACAAACGCUGGCGGCGUGCCUAAUACAUGCAAGUCGAACGGGGAAAGUAGCAAUAUGAGUACUAGUGGCGCACGGGUGAGUAACGCGUGGAUAAUCUGCCUUGAAGAGGGGGAUAACUAGUCGAAAGAUUAGCUAAUACCGCAUAAGACCACAAGAACUGAGGUUCAAGGGGUCAAAGGUUUUUCGCUUCAAGAUGAGUCCGCGUAAGAUUAGCUAGUUGGUGAGGUAAUGGCUCACCAAGGCAACGAUCUUUAACUGGUCUGAGAGGAUGAUCAGUCACACGGGAACUGAGACACGCUCCAGACUCCUACGGGAGGCAGCAGUAGGGAAUAUUGCACAAUGGAGGAAACUCUGAUGCAGCGACGCCGCGUGAGUGAUGAAGGCCUUCGGGUCGUAAAGCUCUGUCGCAGGGGAAUAACACAAUGAAUGUACCCUGUAAGAAAGGAUCGGCUAACUUCGUG
rnacentral:rRNA from 1 species